AAACCGGAGCUAAUACCGGAUAAUAUUUCGAACCGCAUGGUUCGAUAGUGAAAGAUGGUUUUGCUAUCACUUAUAGAUGGACCCGCGCCGUAUUAGCUAGUUGGUAAGGUAACGGCUUACCAAGGCGACGAUACGUAGCCGACCUGAGAGGGUGAUCGGCCACACUGGAACUGAGACACGGUCCAGACUCCUACGGGAGGCAGCAGUC
rnacentral:rRNA from 1 species